AUUCCUAGGACUGUACUCUCGGUGCGUUGACCAUACGUAAGGCGAUCCUUUGAGUGGAUCCCAUUACUACGCGUCACACCUGCUUACCCUCCCAAUAGUUGGUUCAGUAGCUCUCAGCGGUUCUGGCAGAGUUCGGAUGAGUUUCUGCCUAUCAGUUCAUAGGUGCCCACGCAUUGGGUCCACUCCUCGCCAGAAUUUGCGCAUUGCACCAUUACUACAGGCGGCUUUGGUUGUACGUCUAACGUUCGCACCAACAGGAGUCUCAGCUGAUCAUAGGCCCGGACCCUCAAUGUUCGAUGCGAUUCGUAAGAGGGUGUUCGUGUAAGGCCCAAUACGUUGUCAUGCCGGCUUAGAAACCCAGUCGGACGCGUCUCUAACACUCGGAUGUGCAGGUAAUAGCCUUUACCAGCGCUUCUGUACGACCAUACUUAGAGCUCGAGAUGCCGACAUGAAAGGAUUCCGGAGUACUGACCUGAAUACACGUUCAUAGCGUAAAUCGGCCGAGAUUCAACUUUACGGCACGGAUACAGCUCCUCUACCUAUUUCCGUCGAAGUCUCUCACGAUAGUCGCGUACAUUUAGUGGGCGGUACACACAGCACGUCAACGCCAUCGCACUCUGAGUUCCCACUCCACGGUACGUUCACAGCACGUUGCCUUAAUAAGCUACUUCGGUUCCGAGCAGUCAACCUACUGUUUCCGGGUUAGCGCUCUGAUCAGCACCCGUUUACUGACACGAACCGCUAUCGAAUACUGAGUAGGUCGUGUGCCAAUAACUUUGGUUGCAGCUAAGCUAAUCGGACGGCGACUUUAGCAAGUAACUCAGCCGUAUUGUUACGCUGACCGUAAACGACGUGAGCGAUUGUCGUAGGUUAGCCAUAACAUAAAGGUUUCCCGAACGGUAGCAUAGUUAGGCCUGUGUCCAGUCAGGUAAUACGAGAGAGUAAUUAACGCGAUCUAAUGAGAAGCCGUGCAUGUCGAUCCUUGUUACGGGUGUGAAAU
rnacentral:misc_RNA from 1 species